CACUCUCUCUCCCUCCCACCCUCGUCUCCUCCCUCUCCCUCCCUUGCCUCCUCCUCCUUUCCUCCUUUGCAUUUCGGCAGCCGUCCGUGAUGGUCACGUUGGCGCGAGUCCUCUCUGUGAAGCCAUAGCGCAGGUGAAAGUGACGUCAAGACUCGUGGCAACAUCCUCCUGAGAAGUCUUCACCGAGUAUGCAGACCCGCAGGGUCCCCAUUAGCUCGCAGGAUGAGGAGGAGGAGGUGGUGGGACGCUUCAUUCACCUGCCCAGUCGUCCACCCUAACAGGUUGGUGAAUGUGGAGUGAAGACUCAUGGCAACAUCCUCCUGAGGAGUCUGAUGGAGUACACAGACGCGCAGGUGAAAGUGGCACCAAGGCUCAUGACAGCAUCCUCCUGAGAAGUCUUCACGGAGUACACAGACCCACAGGAUCCCCAUUAGCUUGCAGGAGGUGGAGGGACGCAUUCAUUUGUCUGACGAUUCGCUUGCCCAGUCGCACACCCUAACAGGCCGGUGAAUGUGGCGUUGAGACUCAUGACAACGUCCUACUGAGGAGUGAUGGAGUACACAGACCCACAGGGGGGGGGGGGUCCCCAUUAGCUUGCAGGACGAGAAGGAGGUCGUGGGACGCAUUCAUUCGCCUUCCCAGUCGUCAACCCUAACAGGCCGGUGAAUGUGGCGUUAAGACUCAUGGCAACGUCCUACUGAGGAGUGAUGGAGUACACAGACCCACAGGCCGCUGAAUGUGGCGUGAAGAAUCACUGCAACACCCUCCUGAGGCGUCUGAUGGAGUAAACAGACCCGCAGGUUCUCAGCAGUGAGCAGUGCACCACCCUGUAUGUCAAGAGAACAACGGCUGCAAGUGGACGUACCUGAACUACAACUGACUCUCGAUUUACGUGCUAAUGACGGGGAGGACAGCCGCGGACGAUUCAAGAUCACAGCUAAUCCAAAAAUAUGCAUUUUCUGUGGAUCUCCAUGCCAAAAACUAAAUUAUCAACUGAUCGAUGCGCGUGCUCACUGAUGACACGUUCCUGCUCCAGCCUAGCAGAAGACUCGGCCCACUAAGUGGAUGACAGCAGAGCCACACCAAUCAACAUCAAUCAAACUCCACCCUCUGUUGUAAAGAUGUUGCAGCGACUGUACUGUAGAGGAGGCCACGGAUUUCGGAUUAACCGAAGCAACUAUAUCUGUUUGGUUUAAGCAUGCGACUUGUAAAACAUUUCCAAGAAUAACAAUAUUACUUAGAUGAUUAAUUUGGGCUUAAGGGAAAAUCCGCGAGUUAUUAAUUUGUCAAAAUCUCAGGUGCGUGGUUAAUCCGCGAAUCGGAUAAACCGCGUGCAGAUAAUCGAGAGUCUACUCGAGCUCCUGAGACCUGUUCGUAAGUCAAACUGUUUGUAAGUCGGAACACAAUCAUGAUGCACUAUUUCAAUGCCCCCAUACGAAGCAGUGUUAUGAAAUGUGUUCCAGUUCAUAAGGGAAGCAUUGUUAAACAAGAUACUGUACAUUUGCAUGUAAUUUGGAAAAACAAUAGUAAAUAAAACAAAAUAACAAAAAUAUUUUCACUUA